ACAAGGAUAUCGACAUUUUGAAACCUUGAGUCCUCCAUUCCAAACUCUCCUGUAUAAAGUCUGCAUUUGUAUGGGCAAAAUAAAUGAAACGAGACACAGGAAAUAUGUACUUCACCCUUUUCACACCAACGGAGAUGGCUAGUUUGCCUAGGAGACUAUCGAAAACACAAUUCUAUUAUAGUCACAAAAGAAAAUGAAGUUAGAAAAACUGAAAGUUACCUAUAAAAGUCUGUUGGGCCUGUGAAUUUCCCCCUACCCUCGGGGAACAUGAAUGAGGAUAAUUAGAUGCAUUAGCACCCAUUUUCUUCAGUCACUCAGGCAUUCCGUCUGCGGGUUCUUCAGAGUAUAAUCCCAGAGGCCUUUAUGAACCUUCAACCCUGGAUCCAGCAGCCUCUUUUCAUCCAUUUCUUGAUAUGAAACAAAAAUAAUUUAAUUCA